GAGUAGCUGGGAUUACAGGUGCCUACACCACCACGCCUGGCUAAUGUUUGUAUUUUUAGUAGAGAUAGGGUUUCACCAUGCUGCCCAAGCUGGUCUUGAACUCCUGGCCUCAAGUGAUCUGCCUGCUUCAGCCUCCCAAAGUGCUGGGAUUACAGGUGUGAACCACCAUGCCUGGACUAAAGUUGUUGUUGUUGUUUUUUUUAAUGGUGUGAAAUAUGGUGAUAGUUCAUAUAAAUAUCUGUGUCAGUUCCUAAAAAGAAUAUAGAGGAAUAAAAGACCAAUGCAGUAAGUAUUGACUUAACAGUCCUUGGAAGGCAUUUUUCUCCCUUCUUCAAGUUUUAAUAAAAAUAAAACCCUAAAAUUCAUAGCAUCAUGGAAUAGAAGUCUGGUAAAGCGAGCAGAAUAAUUUAUGCAUAAUUAUAAAAUAACUGGUGCAUUAAGUGGUUAUAUGAUCUGUCUCAUGAGUUAGUUGGUCAAAUUUUAUACACAGCUUAUUUAUAAUUAAUUAUUUCUUAAUCUCCCUCCAAUUGUUUAAUGGUUCCCAUAUGCUUGCUUGUGCUUUAGCUUGUAUGCACUUGGUGAAUCUUACCUACCACAAACAGAAGUCUGGAAAGUGAAAAUUUAUUUCCUUUUCACCAUGACCAGCCUUGUUCAGAACAUCUGAGAGGCACAGACCUGAGAAAGAAUCCCCAGGCUGAAGAGGUAGAAGUUGGCAGAAGUUAAAAGCAAUGUCUCCACAAUGGAGAAGUGACAUGCUAAAGGAACCUGGCAUCUAGACAUUUCCUAACCCCCAAUCCCUCCUUACAUAUGACCUGCUCUUAGAGGAGUACAGCGUGGUGGUUAGGAGUGUGGACUCGGCAGCCAGAAAUCCUGGGAUCUGUUGCUUGUUAGCUGUGGGCCUUAAGCUAAGAACUUAACCUCUCUGUGCCUCAGUUGCUCCAUCUGUUCAAAUGAAGAUAAUGAUAAUGAAGAUGAUAUCACCUGCUGUGUAGGAUUGUUAUGAAAAAUCAAGAAUUAAUAUUUGUAAAUCACUUACAGGGUCUGGCACAUAAUAAGUGCUGUGUGGGUGUUUGUUAAAUAAAAUAAUAUACAAUGAC
ensembl:lncRNA novel transcript